GCAGGAGAAGAGUCCGGAAAUGGAAAUGGCGAAAGGGACGGGGUUUGUGGGGACCAUGCUGCGAGGGAAUAGGGAAGAAGAGCUCAUGGAGGGCUUGCACUACUCUACAUCCUUUGAAAAUGGGCAUGGCCAUGUCACUGCUUUGGCUAAUGAAUUGUGAGAGCAUAAGACAUGCAUCACCUCCAGUCUUGCAAUCAACCCAGAACCGAAGGGAAGGGGAAUAAACUGGACAGGCCUGAUAGUGACAUUCACAAACAGUGGAGGAAGCCAAGUACCAAGGUAGAUUGCACAUCCCUCUCCACUGGGGAUCCUGUGAAGAAGAAAACGCCAUCAGAAUCCAUGGACCUCUUUAUCUUUAGACUGAGAAAGUAUGGAUUCUACAUGUCUAUCCAUCUACAUCAUGGGGGAGCUGUGUUCAACUACUAACAACAGAGACUCAUUUGCAGUGGCUGAAACUCAUGAAGGAUUAUUGUGUAAAAGACACCUGAAGAUCAGCAGUUCAAGGCUGUUCCACAGAGUCUUCAUGGACUGAGAGAGCUUCUAUCUUUCCACUUUAUUUUCUUGAUCUAUUUUUCUGCUUUCAU